UACGGAGGGUGCAAGCGUUAUCCGGAUUCACUGGGUUUAAAGGGUGCGUAGGUGGGCAGGUAAGUCAGUGGUGAAAUCUCCGGGCUUAACCCGGAAACUGCCAUUGAUACUAUCUGUCUUGAAUAUCGUGGAGGUGAGCGGAAUAUGUCAUGUAGCGGUGAAAUGCUUAGAUAUGACAUAGAACACCAAUUGCGAAGGCAGCUCACUACGCGAAUAUUGACACUGAGGCACGAAAGCGUGGGUAGCGAACCGG
rnacentral:rRNA from 1 species